rnacentral:rRNA from 1 species
GACGAACGCUGGCGGCGUGCCUAAUACAUGCAAGUCGAGCGAAGUUUUUCUGGUGCUUGCACUAGAAAAACUUAGCGGCGAACGGGUGAGUAACACGUAAAGAACCUGCCUCAUAGACUGGGACAACUAUUGGAAACGAUAGCUAAUACCGGAUAACAGUAUUUCUCGCAUGAGAGAUAUUUAAAAGUUGGUUAUGCUAACACUAUGAGAUGGCUUUGCGGUGCAUUAGCUAGUUGGUGGGGUAAAGGCCCACCAAGGCGACGAUGCAUAGCCGACCUGAGAGGGUGAUCGGCCACACUGGGACUGAGACACGGCCCAGACUCCUACGGGAGGCAGCAGUAGGGAAUCUUCCGCAAUGGGCGAAAGCCUGACGGAGCAACGCCGCGUGAGUGAAGAAGGAUUUCGGUUCGUAAAGCUCUGUUGUUAGGGGAGAAUGGAUAUGUAGUAACUAUACAUGUAAGAGACGGUACCUAACCAGAAAGCCACGGCUAACUACGUG